GUUUGAAAUAUGUAGGAUGGUGUGGCUUGUCGAUGAUUACUAUGACAUUGAACACCGGGCCUACAUGAUGUUGGAGAAGAAGAUGCAUCUUGCACCGCCGAAGAUUCGAUCUCACGGGGCAUCGUCGAGUGCCAUGCCAUAUCAUGAGCGAUACACACCAUACAUCGAGAUGCCAUGACUUCUCCCGUUCAUUCACCUUGUCAGUCGGUCGACGCCAAACCUGAACGCUGCAGCAAUCACGACACUUAUGGAACGGUGGAGGCCGGAGACAUACCGUUUCCACCUCCGGACCGGGAAGAUGACCGUGAUACUUCAGGAUCUUUCCAUAAUCAUUGCACUUCCUAUUGAGGGGAAGCCACUUUGUAUGAGCAUUGAUUCUUGGUAUGGUUCCUCUAGAGCCUAAAGAGAACAUUAAAGAAAAAGUCAUAGCUGGCUCUCCGUACACGUGGAUCGUAGCAAACUUUGUGUAGUGGGGACGCUAAUGAUGAUGCAAUCCAGACUUAUGCUCGUGUGUA